rnacentral:rRNA from 1 species
AAUAGAUACCCCGGUAGUCCACGCCGUAAACGAUGAGAACUAGACGUUGGGAGGGUUUAACCUCUUGGUGUCGCAGCUAACGCGCUAAGUUCUCCGCCUGGGGAGUACGGCCGCAAGGUUAAAACUCAAAGGAAUUGACGGGGGGCCCGCACAAGCGGUGGAGCAUGUGGUUUAAUUCGAUGCAACGCGAAGAACCUUACCAGGUCUUGACAUCCCACUGACCGUCCUAGAGAUAGGGCUUCCCUUCGGGGCAGUGGUGAUAGGUGGUGCAUGGUUGUCGUCAGCUCGUGUCGUGAGAUGUUGGGUUAAGUCCCGCAACGAGCGCAACCCUUAUCUUUAGUUGCCAGCAUUCAGUUGGGCACUCUAGAGAGACUGCCGUCGACAAGACGGAGGAAGGCGGGGAUGACGUCAAAUCAUCAUGCCCCUUAUGACCUGGGCUACACACGUGCUACAAUGGCUGGUACAACGGGAUGCUAACUCGCGAGAGUACGCCAAUCUCUUAAAACCAGUCUCAGUUCGGAUUGCAGGCUGCAACUCG